rnacentral:rRNA from 1 species
UACGUAGGAGGCGAGCGUUGUCCGGAGUACUGGGCGUAAAGCGCACGCAGGCGGUCUCUUUAGUCUGUAGGGACAGGGCACAGCUUAACUGUGUCAGGCUUACGGAAACUGGGAGACUUGAGGGCUUCAGAGGGAUGGGGAAUUCCGGGUGGAGUGGUGAAAUGCGUAGAGAUCCGGAAGAACACCAAAGGCGAAGGCACCAUCCUGGGGAGUCACUGACGCUCGGGUGCGAAAGCCAGGGGAGCGAACGGG